rnacentral:rRNA from 1 species
CCUACGGGUGGCAGCAGUGAGGAAUAUUGGUCAAUGGACGAGAGUCUGAACCAGCCAAGUAGCGUGAAGGAUGACUGCCCUAUGGGUUGUAAACUUCUUUUAUAUGGGAAUAAAAUGUUCCACGUGUGGGAUUUUGUAUGUACCAUAUGAAUAAGGAUCGGCUAACUCCGUGCCAGCAGCCGCGGUAAUACGGAGGAUCCGAGCGUUAUCCGGAUUUAUUGGGUUUAAAGGGAGCAUAGGUGGAUUGUUAAGUCAGUUGUGAAAGUUUGCGGCUCAACCGUAAAAUUGCAGUUGAAACUGGCAGUCUUGAGUACAGUAGAGGUGGGCGGAAUUCGUGGUGUAGCGGUGAAAUGCUUAGAUAUCACGAAGAACUCCGAUUGCGAAGGCAGUUCACUGGACUGCAACUGACACUGAGGCUCGAAAGUGUGGGUAUCAAACAGGAUUAGAUACCCUAGUAGUC